rnacentral:rRNA from 1 species
UAAUACGUAGGGUGCGAGCGUUAAUCGGAAUUACUGGGCGUAAAGCGUGCGCAGGCGGUUUGAUAAGUCAGAUGUGAAAUCCCCGGGCUUAACCUGGGAACUGCGUUUGAAACUAUCAGGCUAGAGUGUGGCAGAGGGGGGUAGAAUUCCACGUGUAGCAGUGAAAUGCGUAGAGAUGUGGAGGAAUACCGAUGGCGAAGGCAGCCCCCUGGGCCGAUACUGACGCUCAGGCACGAAAGCGUGGGGAGCAAACAGGAUUAGAUACCCUGGUAGUCCACGCCCUAAACGAUGUCAACUAGUUGUUCGGAGAUGAAAUUCUUUGAGUAACGCAGCUAACGCGUGAAGUUGACCGCCUGGGGAGUACGAUCGCAAGAUUA